rnacentral:rRNA from 1 species
UACGGAGGGGGCUAGCGUUGUCCGGAAUUAUUGGGCGUAAAGAGCUCGUAGGCGGCCUGUUGCGUCCGCUGUGAAAUCCCGGGGCUCAACCCCGGGCGUGCAGUGGAUACGGGCAGACUAGAGGUAUGCAGGGGAGAACGGAAUUCCUGGUGUAGCGGUGAAAUGACGCAGAUAUCAGGAGGAACACCGGUGGCGAAGGCGGUUCUCUGGGCAUUACCUGACGCUGAGGAGCGAAAGUGUGGGGAGCGAACAGG